AUGUCACAGGUUAGGAAUGAGCCUUUAGACGUGCUCCUGUUGACACACAGUCAUCAGCUGUGUCUCCCUGCUUUGGACAAAGUGGAUGUUUCCAUGCUUCUUUUGGAGGAGUGUCCUGAGCCACACUCAGAGCCAGAUUCACCACAAAGCCAGACCAGGGUGAGGCUGAGCUCCAUCCAUUUCCCUGUGAGGGUGAACUUUGUGUGUCUUAAGCCUCUCUGUAUAAAAUUGUGCCUGCCACUGCUGCCUUCCUUCACUAGCAGCUACUGACAGCAAAAAAAGAGCUUGACCUUCCACCAUGUGUUCUUGGUGUGUUCCAGAUGUGCCCAAAACUGUUUGAGAAUCCAGCUGUGGCUGCUUUGAGGACGAGAAAGUGAAACGAUGCUUCAUACUUGCAGGUGCUGUUCUGGCUUACCCUGGACUAGAAUUUGAACACUGAAAAUGGAUCAGAGAUUCAGCUUGAAGAAAUCACCUGCUGUAAAGUUGUAGCUGGCAGCUCCUUGUUUAACUCUUAGUUGCAUCACUUUGUUUAACUCUGAUGAAUGAGCUCUGUUAUGUAGGGAAUUAAUUUGUCUUGGCCUUCAAUCCUGAGAUGAGAACACCUUAUUGUAUAGCGAUAGAACCACAGAACAACAGAAUUGUCUGAGACCUUUCAAAUCACUGAGUCCAGUCCUUGACCCAGCGCUGCCCAGUCCACCACUAAACCUUGUCCCCAAGUGCCACAUCUACACUUUUUAAAUACUUCCAGGCUGGUGACUCAGCCACUUCCCUGGGCAGCCCGUUGUCCCAUGUACACAAAAAUAGUUAAGCGCUAAAGCUUGUCAAAAUGCAAAGCAACCUGUAAAGCUCCAGCUCCACAUUGCUCAGCUUUCUUAUUCCAUUACCAAAUAAGAACUAUAAGGGUUGGGUUUUUUCCCCCUCCAGGCAUUCAUCUGACUCAUUAAACUGUCAGAGGGUGGACACUGGCUGUAUAAGAAAGAGAUAAUGGAAAAUGUUAACGUGGUUUAUGUAAGCCACUUGGACUUGAACUGUUCAACACUUCACCCUCUGUGCAUCUUUAUUUGUAGCAGAUUCAUUCUCUUUGUCGUGCUACUGCUGUGCUUAUAUAAAUGGUCAGACAAAAGGAUGCAGAUAUUUCAAGUAGCACAUACCAGUAGCUAGGAGGUGACACAAAUGAGAAACAGAUUGCUAAAGGUAUAAAAUGCUGGGUGGUGUCUCAGCUCCACUGAUGUGGAACAGGAGUCUUCAGGAGAUUUCAAGGUUCCCUCUUCACUCUGUGCACUUUCCACCUUGUGCAGGUGUCCCUGGUAUAUCAGGCCAAUGAUUUAGGAGCUGAUCUCUUGCCUGCUGUCACUGUGAAAUACAUGGGGGGUUAUUACUAUGCCAGAGAAACCUGCUUCUGUGCAGGAAAUUCUCUGGGAUGAACAUGGGAGCUGGGAGAGUGUUCAUUUAUCUCCUGUCCCCAUGCUGUUCCCUAAAUAUCCACUACUGGAGACUGGAAGAUGUAGUAGGUAGACCCUCAGGCAGAACCAAAAGGGCUGCUCUGGUAUUUUUAAACAAGCCUGUUUUUUUUUAUUUAUUGAGUUUAAAGGCAGCCUGAGGCCUGCUCAGCUGUAGAUUGCUACUUUGCAAUAUCCAGAGUUACAGGAAAUUAAUCAUUCUCCUAAGAACCUGCUCUUUCUUUGAAAGAAUCCCUGAGGUAAUUCCACAGCAGGUGGGAGACUAUUACUCAUUGCCUUCUGUGUAAAUAAAGGGGAAAGAGUUAAUAUCA
ensembl:lncRNA